rnacentral:RNase_P_RNA from 1 species
GGAGUCGGCCAGACAACCGCCGCUAUCACGUUGAUAGGGGAGGAAAGUCCGGGCUCCAAAGGGCAGUGUGCCAGUUAACGGCUGGGCGGCGUGAGCCGACAGAUAGCGCAACAGAAAGAUACCGCCGAUGGCCUUCGUGAUCGGGGUUCCCCGCAAAGUAGCUGUUCACUUUGUGGGGUGAUCGAGAGGGAUCAGGCAAGGGUGAAAUGGUGCGGUAAGAGCGCACCGCGAGCUUGGUAACAAGCCGGCACGGCAAACCUCACACGGAGCAAGACCAAAUAGGGCAGGAGUGCAUCGCAAGAUGCAUAACGCGCGGCCCGCGUGCCUGCCGGGUAGGUUGCUAAAGCGCCGUGGCGACACGGCGCGUAGAGGAAUGGUUGUCUCGGUCGUCGCUCGCAAGGGCGGCGGGUACGACAGAACCCGGCUUACAGGCCGACUCCCACU